CCUCCUGGGAAGGCCUCGUGUUGCAACCC
rnacentral:rRNA from 6 species